GACGAACGCUGGCGGCGUGCCUAAUACAUGCAAGUCGAACGCUUCUUUCCUCCCGAGUGCUUGCACUCAAUUGGAAAGAGGAGUGGCGGACGGGUGAGUAACACGUGGGUAACCUACCCAUCAGAGGGGGAUAACACUUGGAAACAGGUGCUAAUACCGCAUAACAGUUUAUGCCGCAUGGCAUAAGAGUGAAAGGCGCUUUCGGGUGUCGCUGAUGGAUGGACCCGCGGUGCAUUAGCUAGUUGGUGAGGUAACGGCCACCCAAGGCCACGAUGCAUAGCCGACCUGGUGGGGUGAUCGGCCCACCGGGGACUGAGACCCGGCCCAGGCCCCUACGGGGGGCAGCAGGGGGAAAUCUUCGGCAAGGGACGAAAGUCUGCCCGAGCAACGCCGCGGGGGUGAAGAAGGUUUUCGGAUCGUAAAACCCUGUUGUUAGAGAAGAACAAGGCCGUUAGUAACCGAACGUCCCCUGACGGUAUCUAACCAGAAAGCCACGGCUAACUACGG
rnacentral:rRNA from 1 species